rnacentral:tRNA from 1 species
GGAGGUAUAGCUCAGUGGUAGAGUGUAUGCUUAGCAUACAUGAGGUCCUGGGUUCAAUCCCCAGUACCUCCU